rnacentral:tRNA from 2 species
GAUGGUGUAGCUCAGUAGGAUAGAGCAGCAGCCUUCUAAGCUGUCGGUCGGUGGUUCGAAUCCACCCACCAUCG